CCAAGGAGCCUAACACAUACGCAAGUCGCACGGUCUUGUUUAGGCCUGUGAGGCGAAAUGAAAAUAAACUGUUAUGAGGUUGUGCGCUCAAAAGGCAAUCAAUCGCAAUAGCGGCCUGCCUACUUCUUUUAUUAGAGAUAUGGUGGAGCUGGAGCGUAUGCGUUGGUACCCGAAAGAUGGUGAACUAUGCCUGGGCAAGACGAAGCCAGAGGAAACUCUGGUGGAGGUCUGUAGCGAUUCUGACGUGCAAAUCGAUCGUCAGACCUGGGUAUAGGGGCGAAAGACUAAUCGAACCAUC
rnacentral:rRNA from 1 species